rnacentral:rRNA from 1 species
CCUACGGGAGGCAGCAGUGGGGAAUAUUGGGCAAUGGGCGCAAGCCUGACCCAGCAACGCCGCGUGAAGGAAGAAGGCUCUCGGGUUGUAAACUUCUUUUUAGAGGGAAGAGCAGAAGACGGUACCUCUUGAAUAAGCCAUGGCUAACUACGUGCCAUCAGCCGCGGUAAUACGUGGGUCGCAAGCGUUGUCCGGAUUUACUGGGUGUAAAGGGCGUGUAGCCGGGCUGAAAAGGCAGAUGUGAAAUUCCGGGGCUCAACCCCGGACGUGCAUUUGAAACUGUUGGUCUUGAGUAUCGGGGAGGCAGGCAGAAUUCCUAGUGUAGCGGUGAAAUGCGUAGAUAUUAGGAGGAACACCAGUGGCGAAGGCGGCCUGCUGGACGACAACUGACGGUGAGGCGCGAAAGCGUGGGGAGCAAACAGGAUUAGAUACCCGAGUAGUC